ensembl:lncRNA
AUUCGAACACAGCUGGCCCAGCACUGGAGCCGGGAUAUGAGCACCACCCCCUGAGGGCCCAUUUAAUUUCCAUUUGCCACCAGGAUCCAAACACAGAAGCCAACAAGAAACUGAGCUCGGGGAAGAUGGGAAAGGACUGCCUCAGGAUCAACUGGUUUGACGGGUUAUUUUCUUUGAAGUCUCUGUGGAUGGCUCUGGACCCAGGGCUUGUUUCUCUGAAGAGCCUUCCCUCCCAUCACCACCAUAUAAGGGCCAUCAUCACCAAGCAGAAUUCCAAGAGACUGUUCAGAAGAGCAAGGUUUCUGUGUCAGGACAAGAUGUUUCAGCUUUGGAAACUUAGCUUGCUCACUGGGACUUCAGCAUCUCUUCUUGACAACAAUGUUGUAAGAGAGCUGCAAUCUGCUCUUUAAAAAGAACUUGAGACUGAUGACAGUGCAUUUGAAUCUGUCCUUGAGAAAGUGAAGGCUGAUUUUGAGUCGCUCCAGGAUUUCACAUGUUUGGAGAAAGUAGUUACUGAUAAGAUCCAGGAAGAUGAGAUCUUGCUGGACAAGAACAUUACUGAAAAUCUUCAACUAGUUGUCAGGUGUUUGCGAUCUGUGUGACCCUCAGCUGUGCCCAUGAUUCCGCAAACUCCUUGAAAGCCUGGAUGCAGAUUGUCUUAAGAAACUCGUUGGUGAACUUUGGGAAGCCCAGCAGGGACAGUGAGGAGCACAGAUGAGGAAACAGCUGCGAUGCUCACCUGCUGGUGCUGCCACCAUCCAUCAGGAGGAUCAACUGAGUCCAGUCAAGUACACUCUCAGAUACUUCUCCUCGCAAUCAGGACACCCUGUGCUCAUCACCCUCCACCCCAGCAAUAAAAAGCCAUAUCUGUACCUCC